GAUGAACGCUGGCGGCGUGCUUAACACAUGCAAGUCGAACGAAGCACUUUAUUUGAUUUCCUUCGGGACUGAUUAUUUUGUGACUGAGUGGCGGACGGGUGAGUAACGCGUGGGUAACCUGCCUUGUACAGGGGGAUAACAGUUGGAAACGGCUGCUAAUACCGCAUAAGCGCACAGCAUCGCAUGAUGCAGUGUGAAAAACUCCGGUGGUAUAAGAUGGACCCGCGUUGGAUUAGCUAGUUGGUGAGGUAACGGCCCACCAAGGCGACGAUCCAUAGCCGACCUGAUAGGGUGACCGGCCACAGUGGGACUGAGACACGGCCCAAACUCCUACGGGAGGCAGCAGUGGGGAAUAUUGCACAAUGGGCGAAAGCCUGAUGCAGCGACGCCGCGUGAGCGAAGAAGUAUUUCGGUAUGUAAAGCUCUAUCAGCAGGGAAGAUAAUGACGUUACCUGACGAAGAAGCACCGGCUAAAUACGUG
rnacentral:rRNA from 1 species